rnacentral:misc_RNA from 1 species
GUGAAUCAUCGAAUUUUUGAACGCAAAUUGCGCCUCUUUCUGUACGCAUGUCUGUUUGAGGGUACCAUUUAAUAAAUAAUGUGCAACGUUUUUUGUUGCACACGUGGAUGAGCUUUCCGAGAAUUUUAAUUUUUGGGUGGCGCAUAAUGAACAGCGUGAAAGUUUUUUUCAGUUCGAGUGUAGUUUAAUCUUUGCUUGGGUUGUGAAAAAACAUAUUCGCGC